rnacentral:rRNA from 1 species
GAUCAUGGCUCAGGAUGAACGCUAGCUACGGGCUUAACACAUGCAAGUCGAGGGGCAGCAUGGUCUUAGCUUGCUAAGGCCGAUGGCGACCGGCGCACGGGUGAGUAACACGUAUCCAACCUGCCGUCUACUCUUGGACAGCCUUCUGAAAGGAAGAUUAAUACAAGAUGGCAUCAUGAGUCCACAUGUUCACGNUGAAUUAAAGGUCGUUCCGGUAGACGAGUGGG